CUCGGCGCGACUGCAGGAAUUCUUCGUCGAUCGCAUUCCGCGGCGGCGGUAUCGUCGUCGUGAUGCAGUAAUAACCAUAAUAAUGAUAACGUCAUAAGAAUAUUACAAUACGUCGUGUCGCGCUCUGCACUAUAAUACACGCCGAGUGCAUUUCAACACGUCUCAAUAUUUGACAAAAAUCUAAUGAAAUAAAUAAUAAUAUAAUGUAUUCUAGCUGUAGGGUGUGUAGGUACCUAAACAUAACAUAGAUUGUAAAUUAUAAUUAAUAGAAAGUAUAAUCAAGUAGGUACAUAUUUUAGCAAAAAACGUACGAAUUGAAUUGAAGAUUUUUUCAAAUUGCAAUUCUUAAAAUGACAUAUAGAACCUCCCCAUACUUAACCUGACACCUGCAGGGAAUAUUGUAUUUAAACAAUAACACGUCGACGUUUGCUACCUAUAAUGUAAUGCCAAAAAAAUAGAAUAUGUUUCAGAGUGAAAAUUGGAUUGUUUAUUUUAGAAGUCAAGGCUACAAAAAAUGUACAUACACAAUACACAUUCAAUAAUAC